AUGAAUAUCAAAUACAGAUAGUAAGUCAUGAAAUGUCGAUACCAUUAAUGGACUUCCUCAUUUGUCUGUUAUGUGCAGGCAUAUACUUUAGAGUUGGAAGCUGAAGUGGCAAAGCUUAAAGAAAUUAAGCAAGAGUUGCAGAAGAAACAGGCUGAAUUUAUCGAGAAGCAGAAGAAUCAGUUAUUGGAAAAGAUGAAUAUGCCAUGGGAAAAUAAAUUAAUAUGCUUGAGAAGGACAGCGACAGGACCUUGGUAGUCAAAUACGGAAGUAGAGCAAAUUCCAGAGUAGAAGCUUGGACAAUUGGUAGACAGGAGGAUGAAGCAACAUGCCGGCUUCUGGCUCAACUCAGUUGACUACUGAGAGUAUGAGCCUGCCCCUCUACCCUCCUCCCAACUUAUGAAUUGAAAUAUGUUUUGAUUCAAAUCUAUUUUGUCAAAUGGUAGAUAACUGUACGUAUAGUAUAGUACAGGUUCCAUGUACUGUUCAUAUUAUGUAAACAACACUCUUGCACAAAGUAUCAUCUUGUGCUCUUUGUUUGCAUCCAUAGGAGUUAUCGGUGCAAGUAGGAUGAAACUGUGAACGACAA